rnacentral:rRNA from 1 species
GAUGAACGCUAGCUACAGGCUUAACACAUGCAAGUCGAGGGACCGGCGCACGGGUGAGUAACACGUAGCCAACCUGCCAUUUACUCGGGGAUAGCCUUUCGAAAGAAAGAUUAAUACCCGCUAAAAGGGCUGGGGAUGCGUUCCAUUAGGUUUUUGUUGAGGUGACGGCACCCCAAGCCAUCGAGGGAUAGGGGUUAUGUGAGGAAGGUCCCCCACAUUGGAACUGAGACACGUUCCAAACGCCAACGGGAGGCAGCAGUUAGGAAUAUUUGUCAAUAGGCGUUAGCCUGAACCAGCCAAUUAGCGUGAAGGAUGAAGGCUUAUGGGUCGUAAACUUCUUUUAUAUAAGAAUAUGUACUAUAUGAAUAAGGAUCGGCUAACUCCGUGCCAGCAGCCGCGGUAAUAC